GUUCGGAAAUUCAGUUGACAGUUGGUCAACAAAGAGACCCAGCGUCGUGCAUCGAUAACUCUGAGCAGGCUAAAUUGCUUGUUCGGAUUAAUGGUCUUUAUCAACCUUGUCCUUUUCGUCGGAAUUUUUUUAGUAGCAUUGGAUCAAAGAAACCGUGUUCAUUGUGAUCCAAUUGACAAAGUUGUGAAAUCGUAGUCAUUGCGACCCAACUUAUGUUGUCUUUUGUGGUCAAUUGCAUACAUUUGAUGAGGUAUGAUUUAAGACACUUUUGAUUUAAGACACUUUUCUCAAUGUUAAUUUUUACAUCACUAUUGAUUUCUCGACGCAAUUGACCAAAGCUAAAACAAUUGAUUGAUUUUUGUUCAAAAUCAAUUUAAGUUAUUUGAGAAUGAAAAUUUGCAUUUGGUUUCACGUUAUAGGUUCAAGUGGUGUUGUUGUUAUUGGGUGAAUGACAGCUCAAGCGGCAUAUACCAUAUGUGAACGUCGUGCCUCAACAAAGUUAGAGGGUAUAUUUUCUAGUUGUUGAAGAGUAAUGUUAUUAACACAAAGUCAGAGGGCAUUCACAUGUCUUCACAAUUCACUAAGUAGAUUAGACUGGAUAAUCAUUCUCUAUUAUGCUCAUAAUAUAUUUCUGAUAAGCAUAUAAAUGAAAGUGGUGUUUUUUUUUGUAGUGUAUCUCAAUGCAAGACAUAUAGGAGUUGAUUACGAAGCACUGCAAACAAGAAACUUAAUACAAAGGUUGAACAUUAAUUGAUUCAAGAAGGAAGAACUCUUGAAAGGCUAAAGAAAAUGCACCUUAGUAACCUUUAAGAUUAUUGACGUGAUUAUCAUUAUGAAUUAAGGGGAGUUACCCGAUAAAUUUUACCACAAUAAUGCUAUAGGUACAUGUUAUAAGGAGAUUAGCCUGAAAAUUUUACUUAGAAAAUGUUGAUUGUAGAAACUCCCCUUAAUUUUUUUCUUUCACCUAAUAGAAUCUGCAAAACAAAUUCCAAUUUAUGCAGGAUCGAGGCUGAGCAAGAAAAGCCGGAAAGGAUUGGUCCAAAUGUAUAUAGUAUUCAGAAUGAGUAAAAGCAUGGAAGGGAGAUACAUCUCGUGAAGCUAUUCAGAAACAUUUUGAAGAAACCGGUGAAGAUGAAACUACUCAACUAGUUGAAAUGUUUCCCCACCAAACUGGCCAAGAGUAUCGCAUGAUGACGGGGACUGAUAUUCGCAUCCAGAGGGAUCCUUUAGCAAUAAUGCAAAUGACAGAGGAUCAAAUAAAGCAAAGUAUUGACUUUCAUGUAUGUAUAUUUUUUUCAGUCUUCAAGUCAUCUUGUUUUUUCCCAUUCAUCUUACUUUUUACGGUUCGAUGAUUAUUAAACUCUAACUAACAUUAUUUGCAAAAGAAUCACUAGACCCUACACCUAAAAGUUUAAGAAAUUAAAUUUUACCUCUAGGUAUCUUUGUUAAACCACUCACUAUUUGCACUCAUAUGACUUUAUACGUUAUGUGUUGACAUCUACUGUUCAUAUACUUGCUUACUUCGGUUCAAAUACUUGUUUCCCUUCUUUCUGUAGUAUGGAUUAGAGAUCGAGUUUAUAACUGUGAACUAAUUCAAGAUCCAGAUAAAGUGAUUGACUACAGGGGACCAAGGUUUUCACAAAAUACUUGUUUCCCUUAAAGAAGCGUAGGCUCUUGUACAAAGGACAGAGACAGACCUCAAUUGUUUUCAAGGAUGGUUUCCAACAUGUAGUCGGUAUCGAGGCAAUGGAGAAAUUCAAAGGCAAAAGCAAUGAUAUUAAUCCAUUUUCUCAUCUUGCUCCACUACCAGGUAUUCAGUAUCUGUCAUCUGAAGACUACAUUUAUUUUGAAUAAACAAAAAUGGCUUAUAGACAAAUCUGGGAAGCACUUAAGGACGAUCACAUCUCUAUAAUUGGAGUGCACAGAGAGGGUGGAUCUGGCAAAACAGCCCUUGUAACAGAAGUUGGCAAAAAGGCUGAGGAAUUGGAUAUGUUUGAUAAGGUUAUAUCUAUCACAGUGUCUCGAACUCCAAAUAUUAGAGACAUUCAAGGAAAAAUUGCAGAUAUGUUAAACAUGAGAUUGGGGGAAGAAAGUGAAGAGGGAAGAGCACAGCGUUUAUGGUUGUGUUUACAAGAAAAGAAGUGAAUUCUUAUAAUAGUAGACGAUAUAUGGAGAGGGUUUCGUUUGAUGAAUAUAGGAAUUCGAUUAGACAGUGUUAACGAUCAGACUUUGAAGAUCCUCAUAACCACUAAUAACGAGCGUAUUUGUACAUCAAUGGAAUGUCAAAAGAUUACUCAUUUGGAGCUCUUGUUCGAAGAUGAAUCUUGGAUUUUCUUCCAAAAAUUUGCAAGAGUUGAUGACGUACACUCCAAAAAUUUGCCACAGGAAAUCUGCAAUGAAUGUGAAAGACUUCCCCUAACAAUCAAAAUUGUGGAGUCGUCUUUAAAAGGAAGGCCUGAAAGUGAAUGGUGUCGGGCGUUAAAGAAGUUGAGGGAUUCAAAGGCAUCUAAUGACGAAGGAGGAGUGACUUCUACUUUUAGCUGCCUUAAAUUAUGCUUUGGUUAUUUGCUAAGGCCGGAAACAAAACAACUCUUUCUGAUGUGUUCUCUUUUUCCCGAAGACUAUCACAUCCCAAUAGAAGAUUUGUUGAGGUAUGCAGUUGGACUGAGUGUGGAGGAAAGAAUAUCGUUACCGUCAAGACGAAGCUUAUUUGAAGUAAACAUCAGCCAACUUUUAGACUCAGGUUUGCUGAUGCGGGGUUCCGUGAAGAUGCACGACGUGGUUCAUGACGCAGCCUUAUGGAUCGCAAAUAGAUCGGAUAAAGGCAAAAUGUUGAUAAAUGUGGACAAACCUCUUAGCAUUGUGGCAGAGGACAACAAAAUAAGAGAUUGCUUUGCAGUAUCCUCGUGGUGGUAUAAUGAAAGUCCCUCUUUCUGUCAAUUGCACGCUCCAAAUCUUAAAAUGCUAUUGCUAAAUAUAAGUGCUUAUGGGUCAUUGAAUUCCCUGGAUUUAUCGCAUUUAACAUUUGAAGGAAUACAAGGGCUUGAGGUGUUUUCUCUAACUAUCAACUACAAAACAGCACCAUUAUCAUUACCUCCAUCUAUCCAAUCAUUGACAAAUGUUCCAGCUUUGUGUUUAAAUGGAUUGGAGUUUGCUGACAUUUCUUUCAUAGAAAGUUUAAUAAGACUUGAGGUUCUUGAUUUGCGACGUUCAACGAAGUUCCUAUUGAAAUAGGAAAACUCUUACGUCUAAAGCUGCUAGAUUUGUCUGAAUGCCGUACUUUUGAAAAAGCCUAUAAUGGGGCAAUUGGGAAAUGUUCACAACUAGAGGAAUUAUAUGCUUCAGCAUGCUACCCAGAAGAGCAUGUUUCUGAGAUUGCUAUGGAUAUUGGUAUUCUCCCAAAUUUACAAAGAUUUAAGUUUAGUGAUCAAAUAACACUCAAAUUAAAAGAUUGUAAUAUCUCAAAUUUGAUGGCAUCUGAAAAACAAUUUUGCAAAUAGGUAAAAAAAAUUCUUUGACAGGCCUCCAUGGAGGAUGUAAAAAUGUCAUCCCUGGUAUGGUUGGAAUUGUGGGAGGCAUAUGCAUCUUUGAUGCAACCUAUGAUUUCAAGGAAGAUGAUUUGAUUCCCAACUUGGUCCUUAAACCUUAAACUUUUGGAAAACUUGACAGUAUUGUGUCGAGGUCCACCUCUGGAAGUGCUAAGCUACCUUAAGAAACUAGAACUACUUGAUAUACAAAUUUGCAAGCAGUUGCGCAUCAUUUUUCCCCGUCAUCAAAAGUACCUCAAAUACAAGCAGCAGCUACAAGCAGAUGCGUCACAACAUCGUCAGUUGGGUCGCAAACAAUCUAGCCUGCUCAGAGUUGCCGUUGCACGACGUUUGGUCUCUUUAGAGUCUUUAACAGUUGAGGAUCUUGGUUGAGGAACUGCCAUUUGGGUUUUAGAAGAAAUUGCCGAGGAUUUUUGUUGACCAAUUCUUAACUGAAUUUCCAAAUUCAUUUUUAAGAAAAUGAUUUUAAGAUUUUUGAGUUUAUGUAAAGUUAAGAAAAGAAAGAAGAAAUUUUCGUGGAAGAUUUUCGUGUAAUGAAGUUUUCCCUAUAUAUAUACACCGAACCAUUCAAUAUGGUCUUGGUGUUUAUAUAUAGGGACAAAUUCAUUACACGAAAAUCUUCCACGAAAGUGUCUUCUCUUAAUUUUAUAGAAGUUCAAAAAUUAAUUUCUUCAAAAAUGAAUUCGGAGUUUCAGUUGACAGUUGGUAACAAAGAUAAAGAUCCUUAACAAUUUUUUCGGAAAUCCAGAUUACAGUUCCUCAAUCAAGAUCCUCAACCGUUCGAGACCCUAAAGAGACCAAGCGUCGUGCAACGGCAACUCUGAGCAGGUUAGAUUGCUUGUUCGUAGUAAUGGUCUUUAUCAACCUUACCCUUUUCCUUGGAGUUUUUUAGUGACAUCGGAUCAAAGAAGUCUUAAAAACCAUAGUCAUUGCGACCCAAUUGACGAUGUUGUGAAACCGUAGUCAAGAACUAGAACAAAUUGUUGCAGGAAAUGAAGAACCAAAGCUAAAAUCUAUGUAUGUCU
rnacentral:lncRNA from 1 species